GGAGACGUACCCAAGUGGCUAUAAGGGGCUUGCUUGGAAAGCAAGUAGACGGUAAUACGUGCGAGGGUUCGAAUCCCUCCGUCUCCU
rnacentral:tRNA from 1 species